rnacentral:lncRNA from 1 species
UGCAUGUGUGUGUGUGUAAAAACACGAGGGGUGCAUGAUGAACCACAUGUACUAAAAUGUCUGAAUUCUUUGUACUAUUUCUGCAACUUUCUCAAAGUCUGAAAUUAUGUCAAGAUGUGUUUUUAAAUGAUGAAAACAAAUAACGUAUCCCCCUAAAUGCCCAAGGACUGCUGUUUAAGAAUGUGUUUUGUAGCAUCUGGUGCAUUUUACCAAGAGGGACUGAAAUGAAUUCUGAUACACAUGUAGGAUGGCCUGUUUUGGUAGAUGCAUGGGAAAAAGCAUGAAGAAUUUCCACCAACCUAUGGACUGACAUAUUCAACUCUGAGAGAACUUCCAGGUAAACAUGGUCGGCUACUCAUGUGUUAUCUCCACCCCCGCAAGCAACAUGAACUGCACCAUCACUGACUUCUAAAGAUGAUAAAUCCUCCCACCGAAGGGCACGUAGUUUUGGAAGAUGGACACAGAAGGGCUGACAGCAAACACAGCCUCCAGUGUUCCCUGCUCCACUGAGCAUCCUCAGAGGGAGACAGCACAGGGACACCUGGAGCAGAGCGAGGCCCAGCGGAGCCCAAGAGACAGGGGAGGGGAAGGCAAGGAAGGAGGAAGGCAGGGGGAAGGGAAGGGGGUCAGCAAGAGAAAAAAGGUGCAUGGGUUGAGUCUUUUAUCACAAACUGUUAGCUACAUUCCCUCUGCCGCACCUCGGAUCCCAGGUCUCUUUUCUCAUCCUCACUGAUAAAGAGACUCCUCCUGACGCCCCCGUGCAGGACAGCGCAGCUUAACCCGUGGGGACACUAAGCCCAGUGCAGGACAGGGAUGCUCACCUAACAGGCGACAGGGGAUCUGGGGAAAGACACCAGCUUCCACCAAGCUUCCAUGCCAUGGCAAGGAUGUCGGCAGCUGGACCCAGGCUCCCCUGGGCACUGAAGGAGUCUCCUCCUGCAGGUUCCGCAGGGUCCCACUGCCUGGAGACCAGCAGCCAGCACACUGUCCCCACAGAGAGACUUCAAACCACUAUGCAGGGCCCCUUCUUCCAUGGGAAGUGAUGAAGGGGCAACCAAGGUCUGCCCUGUGUCUGGGGAACGCCCCAACGUGAAAGCAAGCAAGCUGGCAGGAGGGAGCCUGGAGGAGAAGAACAUUCCCAGAGCUCACAGCACCCCCAGAGAGCCAACAGAAGACUAAGUUGAACCUCCCCGCAGAGAGCCAACAGAAGACUAAGCUGAACCUCAGGACACUCCCAUUUUUUUUUUUUUUUGUGGCUGAAAACCUGUUAUCAAUUUCACAUGAUUCAGUCUAACAUGAAAUAAAACAGGAUGCACUGAAAGGGCAGAGAAACAUCAGUAAACAUUGAAAAUAUGGCAGGAAAAGUAAAAUGGUCGAUACAAAGGUGGAAAAUAAAGUCAAGAAUCUCCCUGAGAAAGUGUAAGAAAGAACAGGGAGACAGGCAGGAAGGGAAAGAAAGAAAGGAAAGUUGAAGGAUUAAUCCAGAAAAGCCUACAUCUGACUAAUACAUUUUCCAGAAAGAAAAAACAAAUCAGAAAAUGGUAGGAAAACUUAUCAAACGAAUAGGGGCCCAAUUCCCCUAAAAUGAAGGGCAGGUGUUUCCAGACUGAAGGUGCCACCAGGUGCCCCAGGACGGUGGAUGAAGAAAGGCUCCCGGGGUAAGGAAGGGAACCUGGAGAUUUCUAAGAGAAAAAAGAGAAGGUCAGAAAGCAAGGGCUGGGGUCAGAAUGUCUGUGAACGUGUCAGUGACGGCAAUGGAGGCUGGAAGACGGGGGUUCUGAAGAGAAGGUGUUUCCACGUCCACAUUGCCUCAGGCGAGAGCAGAAUCCAGCCAUCACGCACUUGUAAGCUUGCAGAACCCACCUCCCCUAACUCAGGAAGCUGCUGGGAGACAGUUUCCACCACAGGAGUGGUAAACGGGUCUAGACUGCUAGGGCUGUGUCGCAGGCAAGAGAGGAGGGGGACUCCCAGCACCGUGGUGACAGGUGCUCUGGGGCCAAGCCGCGCAGUGGGCGGAGUGAGGCUGAUGGCGUGAAAGGGGUGGGGCAGGGCAGGAUGGCGGCCACGGUGCAGGGAAGGAAGAACUUUGUCGGAAAUGUGAAAAAGAGGAAAAGAUGAGAUGUUUACUUACCCGGGAAAAAACAAGAUGUAUCUAUUGAGGGUGCAUAAUUAAAGUUUGUUUCUUGGCUGGAAAGUGAAGGGCAGAAGCAUGGCUGGUAUAACUGAGGAGGAGGAGGGGUGGGCAAUGUCGGGGUGGAAGGGAGCCAGGUCCCCUCUUCCGUAAGAGGAGCACAGCUGAUGACGUUCAGAUGAUGAACCAAGAAACAUGGAAAUACGUAGGUAAGCAGAGAGAGGCAGCUGAAAUUGGCUGCCUCUAGAAAGAGAGGGCUGGGGAGGGGGACGGAACGCCGCUGUACAACAUGAUAAGCUUGUAGGACUGUCUGGCUUCUAAGGUACAUUAUGUUUUACUUUAAUAAAUAAAAAUUAACUUGAAGAAAAAUGCAGUGCCCUAUUUAAUUGCUCUGCAUGAAAUGUACAGAAACGGCAACCCCUGCGAUUCUAAGCACUGCGAACGCCCCAGGCGCACACCGUGUCAACCAACCGUGUGGCACUUGGGAGAAGGCAGGGGUGAUUUACGAUUAGUCAUGCUUCGCCUCCACCCGAGUCACUGCCAAGGAGUGGACAGUGACACUGAAUAAGCAUGCGGGCAACUCCCUCGGGAAGGGACUUGGCUGACAUGGUGGCCUUCCCACUGGAGCCUGUACUUUGUCUCGCUGGGCAGCACUCACUCAUGGAAGGAACAAUGACCAAAGCGUGGUGGUGGGGGUGGGUAGGCCUGAGCGCCGUUUCCAUGGUGACCAUUCACUGAGCAGGCAGCAGGCACUGAUGGGCAGUGGAGCCUGGAGGAGUCGGGUC